rnacentral:rRNA from 1 species
UCCCAGACUCCUACGGGAGGCAGCAGUGGGGAAUAUUGCACAAUGGGGGAAACCCUGAUGCAGCAACGCCGCGUGGGUGAAGGAGCGUUUCGGCGCGUAAAGCCCUGUCAGCGGGGAAGAAGAAAGACGGUACCCGACCAAGAAGCCCCGGCUAACUACGUGCCAGCAGCCGCGGUAAUACGUAGGGGGCAAGCGUUAUCCGGAUUUACUGGGUGUAAAGGGAGCGUAGACGGCAGUGCAAGUCCGGAGUGAAAGCCCGGGGCUCAACCCUGGGACUGCUCUGGAAACUGUAAAGCUGGAGUGCGGGAGGGGCAGGCGGAAUUCCUGGUGUAGCGGUGAAAUGCGUAGAUAUCAGGAGGAACACCGGCGGCGAAGGCGGCCUGCUGGACCGUAACUGACGUUGAGGCUCGAAAGCGUGGGGAGCAAACAGGAUUAGAUACCCCAGUA